UGACUAGAUGGACCUUUGUUGGCAAAGUAAUGGCUCUGCUUUUUAAUAUGCUGUCUAGGUUGAUCAUAGCUUUUCUUCCAAGGAGCAAGCAUCUUUUAGUUUUGAGGCCUCUAAAAAUGGUUCACUAUUCACUUGACCCAGAAAACCCCAUGAAAUCAUGCAAGUCAAGAGGUUCAAGCUCUGUGUUUACUUUAGGAAUCGUCAUGACGCUGCCCGGGCCGUGAAGGGUGCGUGGACACUGUGACUGGGCCCGGGGCGCCCCAGCUGCUUGCUGUCCUCCUUGCAUGCUGGGUCAUGUGACUGCUGUCCCGCCGCUCUUCAGACUGCGUCUCAUUUGCCAUCUGACGGCUCCCAGACAGCUCUUUGCAUCUGUUUUAAAUGGUCGUCAAGAAACAGAAAAAAUGUUCCUGAGCCCUCGACCGACGUGCACCAGCAGAUGCAGCGCGUGCACCAUGGGCGGGUCAGACUCCUGCCCUGACGCCGGGGUCCCGCUGUCCACCCAAGAGGUCCGGUUUCCGCUUCCAGACACACACAGCUCUUUGGGGACUGCGUUUCUGCUUGGCAACCCUAAUCCUUCUCCGUAACAGGUUUUCAAAAGGAAUCUGAGAAGGAGGAAGAUGGGUAGGUAGGUAGGGUGUCAAACACUCAGCUGCCGGUCAUCAUGAAACCAACUUUUAACUUAAAAUAGCCCAAAGUUUUAAAUCCAGCACCUGGACCUAGCACUUGGCUGUCUGAUAAAGGCAUUGGAGGACCCUGGCUCUCCACUGAGCAAGAAGAAAAGUCAGGAAAAGCUUUCUUUCCUGAAACAGUGUUGCCUCCUGUUUUCAACCCAAAGGCUGCUUCCUCACAGACCCCAGGGGUCUCUUCACCCUUCACCCUUGUGUCCUAGAUGACACUGUGUUCCCCAAGCGAAGCUACGUGGAAGGCCUAGCCCCAGCCUCAGAUGGGACCUUACUUGGGAAGAGCCUUUGAGGAUUUAAGCUGACCCAGCGGGAUGAGGGCUUUCAUCAAAAGGGGAGCCGUGGGGGAGCUCCCUGGUGGUCCAGUGGCUGGGACUGGGCGCUUUCACGGCUGGGGCCCCCGGUUCAAGCCCUGGUUGGGGACGGUGGACACAGAUCAAGUGGAGGCAGCAGGGAGGACUCCUCUGAGGACAGGGGAUUGGCCCCGAGGAACGCCGGAGGCUGUCCCGCGCACAGGAGCCCUGGGCCUUCGGAGGGAGGGUGGUCCUACACCUGGACUUGAGUUUUCUGGCCUCCAGAACUAGAAACAACAAAUCUCUGCAGUUUUUUUUAUUUCCUACAGCUUUUACUUCUCCA
rnacentral:lncRNA from 1 species